GACGAACGCUGGCGGCGUGCUUAACACAUGCAAGUCGAACGGAAAGACCCUGCUUAUGUGGGGUGCUCGAGUGGCGAACGGGUGAGUAACACGUGAGUAACCUGCCCUUGACUUUGGGAUAACUUCAGGAAACUGGGGCUAAUAACGGCUAGCAGCUCCUGCUGCAUGGUGGGGGUUGGAAAGUUUCGGCGGUUGGGGAUGGACUCGCGGCUUAUCAGCUUGUUGGUGGGGUAGUUGCUUACCACGGCUUUGACGGGUAGCCGGCCUGAGAUGGUGACCGGCCAGAUUGGGACUGAGAUACGGCCCAGACUCCUACGGGAGGCAGCAGUGGGGAAUAUUGCACAAUGGGCGGAAGCCUGAUGCAGCCACGCCGCGUGCGGGAUGACGGCCUUCGGGUUGUAAACCGCUUGCGCCUGUGACGAAGCGUGAGUGACGGUAAUGGGUAAAGAAGCACCGGCUAACCACGUG
rnacentral:rRNA from 1 species